GCCUGUGAUUCUAAAAUCAACACAACCAAAUCCACACUCGUCGCUGGCUUUCCCUGCCCUGCUGUGGAGCACAUGAACCCGGGGACGCAUUCGGCUUUCCUUUGAUAGGGGAAGGCAGCCCAAACAGCACCCAGACCAAGAGCCUGGAUCAGGGAUCCUGCUGCCUGAGACUUUCUAACUAGGCCAAGAAAUGAGGACACUGAACUACUUCUUCUUGAGAUGACGGAAUCUUGCAAGUUUAUUUAUUGUUUCCUGGGGGAGGAGACACAGUCUGUUGGAACUGGAAGUGAUGAGAGAUUGCCAUCCAAUUCCAUAGGAGGCCAAUGAGAGACCCCUUGGAAAUCAGAGAAUGUGCACUUUCUUGGCAAAAUAUCCAAGGUAAGGGAGAGUAUAAAUGUGAAUGAGAAUGCUGAGUGUCGGAAGACAUUUGUUUUUUGUUUACAUCUAGGACCAGACCAGAGGGAGUGAGGUCUAUCUAUCCCACGAAGAAACUGAGAUGCAGCUUAUGAAAUAGAGGCUGACAAUGGCUCACCCACCUCCUUUGUAAGAGCCUGGUGUGUGCUACAGGAGCAUGGCCCAUAUACGUGUCAGGUUGAAGGACAACUCAGGAGCUGUCCAAGGCUCAACUUGGCCCCACUUGCCCCAUCUGGCAGCCUGGACCGAGCAUUGUUCAUUGAGUCCCACACCCACAUGGCCCCAGAGUCAAACCGCCUUUCAUGCUGAAGAAUGGAACUGACACUCCCAGCAACAUCUCCCCCAACCAUGCCCAUCUGUUAAUCCAACUUAAAAAGAAGGAAAAAAAAAUGACAAUGGAAAUGGAAAUACUUUAAAACAUUGUGUGUGUUUUGUGUGUGUGUGUGUGUGAUCAAAUCUCUUUCCCUGAAAUAUGACAAAGCAUUGCCAUCCCUUCUCCAAUAUCCUCUAUCCAUUAAUGGUCUUUCUGAUUCAAUAAACAGGAUUUCAGGCUCUGCCCCCUCCCUCUUUUCCACCCCUACUCCAGGAGAACAUGGGCUGCUUCCAGUAUAGCUCAUAUUAAGCUGUGCAGUUGAUGGAUCUUUAAUCUUGCUGAACACAUGUUGAGG
rnacentral:lncRNA from 10 species